CACCCCCAUGGAAGAAAUCGUGCGCGCGAUGACACACGUGAUAAACCAAGGCAUGGCCAUGUACUGGGGCACGUCGCGCUGGAGCGCCAUGGAGAUCAUGGAAGCCUACUCGGUGGCCAGGCAGUUCAACAUGAUCCCGCCCGUG